GUGGGGAAUAUUGCACAAUGGACGAAAGUCUGAUGCAGCGACGCCGCGUGAGGGAUGAAGGCCUUCGGGUUGUAAACCUUUUUCGCUUUUGACCAAGGCAGCAUUUUGGUGUUGUUGAGGGUAUGAGGUAAAGAAGCUCCGGCUAACUACGUGCCAGCAGCCGCGGUAAUACGUAGGGAGCGAGCGUUGUCCGGAUUUAUUGGGCGUAAAGGGCUUGUAGGUGGCUUGUCGCGUCUGCCGUGAAAUUCCGCAGCUUAACUGUGGUAGUGCGGUGGGUACGGGCAGGCUUGAGUGUGGUAGGGGAGACUGGAAUUCCUGGUGUAGCGGUGGAAUGCGCAGAUAUCAGGAGGAACACCGGUGGCGAAGGCGGGUCUCUGGGCCAUUACUGACGCUGAGGAGCGAAAGCGUGGGGAGCGAACAGGAUUAGAAACCCCAGUAGUCC
rnacentral:rRNA from 1 species